CCUGCACUGUAAGUGCAGUCACCCACCCCAAACCAGUCAGAAAAUCUCUUGCAGGUGUGCCCACUAUUUCUUGAUUGACCAUUCCAGGUGUAGUCAAGUUGACAACCAGAGCUAGCAAUCACAGUUAGCUUUCAACUUUUAUUCUUUUUCAUGAGCUUGAACUAAUUGCCCUUUAUUUUUUACCACUUUAAAAACUUAUUUCUUAGAUUUAAGCAUCUGACAAUUUUCCCAACUUCAGGCAUUAGACACAUCAAAUAUUGUAUAGCACUUAAUUGUUAAAUUUUAUUAUAAAGUUGCUUAAAUAUGUGCAAGCAUAAAACAGCCUAGCUGCCUUAAACAAAGUGCUUGCAUAGUUGUAAAACAAAAACAAAAUUAGGAAUUAAAUAGUAACAAACUCCAAAACUAAAAAGGGUGGAUAACCAUUUAUUUAAUUUUUAAAACUAUUUUAGAUUAUAAUAUAACGUCAUUUCCCUCUUUCAUAUUCUUCCUCCCAUAUACUCUCUCCCUUAUUGUCUUUUAGAUUCAUGGACUCUCUUUAAUUGCAACAUACGUGUAUGUGUGGAGUUGCAGGGCUGGGAAUGGACCUCACACACACGCUAGGCAAGGCAAGCUCUAUCACUGAGCUUAUGUCCCCCAGCCUUGGGAUGAAAACACCACCUUGAGAAAAGUUCUACUUAAGGGAUAACCUGAAAGGUAACUCCAGAUAAACACGUGCACACGGAUGCAACUGCAUGCACAGUGUGCAAAAGCCAUCAGAAGAUCAUGUUCAAUGAAUACUACUGAUUUCCAGUUUUGUUUAGCUUCAUUUUCUUAGUUUUACACUGUGGGUAGAUCCAAAUUUACCCUUAUAGCUCUGGGUGCAUCGUUUUAGUUUCAAGGUCAAGAAUGUAAGAGGACGUGUGCAGUCUUCCUCCAUGUUACGACUUCUUUAACCGACAGUGUGAAAGACAUGAUCUUUGGCAUGUGGCUUUGUCGCCUGUUUCCAUUUAGUUGUGCUAUGACAGUUUGGAAAUGGCUAUAAAUGCAUAAACAACUGGAAUUUCUUUGAUAUUUUGCUUUGUAUGGUGGAUUUAUAAUGAAUUGCUCUCCAACUUCGCCUGUUAAGAAUCUGCUGUUUGAUGAUGGCUCAGUAGUUAAGAACUCUGACUGGUCUUCCUGAGGACCUGGAUCCAAUUCCCAGUACCACAUGGCAGCUCACAACUGUCUGUAUCGACAAUUCCAGGAGAUCUGGCACCUUCACAGAUAAGCAUGCAUACAAAACACCAAUGCAUAUAAUUUUUUUUUGAAAAUUGCUGUUUUUAGAAAAUUAUUUAUAGUUUAUAAAAAUAUAGCUUACAUUUUGAAUUUUCAAUAAACAUGGUACUUGUAAACCAUGAAAAUUAUUCUGAUUUAGCAGUGAAAAUAGAUACCUACAUUUUAAUAAUGGCGAUUGUUGAUUGCCCCUCAUGCCAGUAAGAAGGACGAGAUAUUUGAAUACAUAUAGUGCAGAACUGUAUUGUUUAUAAGACCGAUUCACAAAACUUAACAAUUGGCUAUUUUCAUUCAUCACAGUUUGAUGUUUUAGACUAUUUCAUUGUUUUGUUUAUGCCACUGUAUUGAAUUACAUCAUAUCAUAACUUGUUUACUUCAAGCAAUUUGAUUUAUUUGUAUUCAUAACAGUUUUUUAGUAAAGAUGGAUUUUUAAGGAA